UCCUACGGGAGGCAGCAGUGGGGAAUUUUGGACAAUGGGCGAAAGCCUGAUCCAGCCAUGCCGCGUGCAGGAUGAAGGCCUUCGGGUUGUAAACUGCUUUUGUACGGAACGAAAAGACUCUUUCUAAUAAAGAGGGUCCAUG
rnacentral:rRNA from 1 species